rnacentral:ncRNA from 2 species
GUCCAUCCACAGGGGUGCUCCGUGUUUCGGGGCUGAGAUGGAGGCAUGAAGCCUUCGGACCCUAAAGCUGAUCUGGGUAAUACCAGCGGAGCGAGGCGGGCGAUGUUUUCUG